rnacentral:lncRNA from 1 species
AAUGCAUCAAAGUUUAAAUAACACACACACACAUAAAAUUAAAAUUAAAAUUACAAAGCCGUGCCUUCAAAAGGGCUUAAAAAACAAACAACAAAGAACAUUGCCAUAAAAAAUAAAACACUUCAUGCAAAAAAUAUAAAUCUUCAUUGUGCACAUCAUCAUAAUAAAAAAGCACAUCAAGAUGAUAAGAACAUUGCACUUUGAUUCCGUGACAUCAUUGACAUCAAAACCUGAAAAUCAAGAUCUAAAAUUAUAACAUGAUAAAAUAAAUUAGAAUAUGUAAAAAUAAAAAUUAAUUUUUUACCAUCAAACUUUUGGACUAAUUAUCAUCCGUUACUAAAUGUAACUUUCCACCAAAUUCACAAAGCUAGUUGUGGGAGGUAGGAGGGGCUAAUAUUUUGGUUGACCCAAUCUUGGUGGGUAACUUAGAUUUUGGAAUUCCGUGGCUUUAUGAUGCUGCCAAGAAGGUCCUUAAGAAUUUCCAGGUACUGCUCCUUCUAAUCUUUGAACUGUUAUGUUAAGUGUUAACUGCCUGCUAAAUUUUGACCCUAUGCUCUUUGCCUUUUUUGUCGUUCAAGCAUAUACAGAGUCAAUUUAAUUUGUAGUCUACUAGCUAUUAAAGUGGGGCUACGCUCGGUAAUGGCAUUUUACAAUUAUUUUCCUCUGUAAUUUAUUGUGGGAAUGAUUGUGAUUGAUGGAAAUUGGUAAUAUAAUGUCAAAAAAGGGAGAUUGACAGAAAAAAAAAAUUCAUACCUGGUAUCUAAACCGACGGCGAAGAUGAGUCUAGACCGAACGGCCAAGAUCAACCAAAGAAGACGCUGAAGAGAAAGCGAGCAACAUUAAAACCAAAACAGCAGCAGCAACUUUUGAACAUAAGAGGUGAAGUGGUGAACAGAAAGGAGCCAAGAUUGAGGAAUUAAAGAGAGAAAUGAAGAAUCGAAGAUGAGGACAACCAAACGAAAGCUUUAACAGUAGAGGGCAAUAUCUAUAUUAUAUAUAGUAGAGCUCGCUUACCAGACGAAACCAUGCCUUUAAGGUAAGGCUGGAGUGGAAGGGAGAGUACGGUAGAAGAUCAGAGAGAAUCUGGUUCGAGGAGCCUAGCCUUCUUUGCUAUUAGUUUCAAUAGCUGCUGCUUUUGUUUGCGCCAACCCUCUUAGGAAGGAAGAACUCUGGGGAACUUCCGGAUUAACUGAUUAAGGAGUUAGCGGGAAGAAGAUUAGCAGUACGAGGAGGCGAUUCAGCAAGCUAGCCACACCUCCAUCACUUGACACUUUCUUAUUCACAGUUUCACACCGAAGAGAGAGUGAGUGAAAGUGUGGAAUCUGUGGAUUAUGUGAGCGCGACUGUGAGGAAUGAGGGAGCGGCGCUGGAGAGAAAAGUAUCUAGGGUUUUUAGUUAAUUAGGUUUCAGGAAUUAGAAAGUGUUUUUUUUUUUUUUUGUAUUUAUAGUACCCCUUAAACCGAACCGAACCGGUUCGGUUGGGGU